AAAGAGAUAAGACGAUCAAACGAAUUGGACGGUUGGGUAUAAGCCAAUUAUGUCUCCUUGUUGUUAAAAAACAAACCACCAACGUUCCCUUCAUCCUCUCCCUCUCCUCCCCGAUUCGAUUCCACAUUUUCGUCUUCUCUAUCUCCAUGGCUUCUGGAUCUUACUGGUGCUACAGCUGCAACCGCUUCGUCUGGGUUUCCUCGAACACAUCCACAGAAGAAGCCCCACGCGCUUCCCUCUCUCCUCCACCCACGCGCCCCUCACUCGUAGCAGCACCAACCGCUCUCGUCCUCCGCGGAUCCGACGCCUCCGAAGCCUACGACCGAUCCGCUUUCCAUAUGUACUACGACGACGGCUCCGACUCUGGCCUCAGGCCGUUACCACCGAGCAUGACGGAGUUUCUGCUGGGCUCCGGAUUCGAUCGGUUGCAUGUGAUCGAGAUCGAUCGGAUUCAUCUCGAAUCGGACUCUCAGUCUCACUGUGCGGUCUGCAAAGAGAGUUUCGAGCUGAAAUCGUCGGCGAAGGAGAUGCCGUGUAACCAUAUAUAUCAUCCUGACUGUAUCCUCCCUUUACAGUAGCUGCUGGUGAUGAUGAUUCUGCGGCGGGAUUGACGAUUUGGAGGAUUCGCGGUGGGGAGGAUUCCGGGAGGGGAUAGAGUGAUGCCGGUGGUGUACACGGAGGUAGACGGCGGGAGAUUGGGGGAGGAGAGGCUUACGAGGAGAGGAGGAGGGUUUGCGGGUCGGAUCAUGAGACUGUUUGGAUGUUUUAGCGGGUCCGGGUCGAGAUCGAAGGUAACUAGUAGGGUACAGCUGCGUCUUCCUCGAGGAGACGAAAUUGGAUAAACUAAGCCUCUCAUCAAAGGUAAAACAAAUGAUGAAAUAAAAAAAAAACAAAUAAACAGGUUCUGUUUCAUAUAUAUAUUUUUUUUCAGUGUAAUGAUUAUAUUCUUUCCAAGAAAAUUGAAUCUAUUCGAGUAAAUUGAUACAAAUGGUUUUAUGUGAAGUGAGAUUGAUAGUUCGUGAGUA